AGAGAUGGAGGAUUGAGCAUCUUUAGUUUUGCUGUUUCGGCACUAUGGCAGCAGAUGAGGCUACCCUUAAGGAGCUGAUCAGAAAGGCACAGAGCCUGGCAGAGCAUCUCAACUCACUAGUCGAGCCUGCACAGGUGAACAAAAGAAGAUCAAAACCACCAGUCCAGAUCUGAUGGAGAAAGCGGGAUAAAGAUGGCAGCAUUAUUGCCCAGACCAUCAAGUCCUCUUCAUCCAAAUCCCGUGGUGGAAGGCCCAGAUGACUUUACCUCAGUGUUCCUGAGGGGACAUCAGUGGAGAUGCCUGAUGAGGAAGAGGCAGGACUCAAAUAUUGCCAAUGGAAAUGCCACACCAGAUUUGUGACUCCCCCCCAGAGAAUGUGUCUGUCAUUGCUGGGAGGCCUGUGGUGUUCAUCAACAUGAAAGGACGAGAUGAUCUGACCCUCCCAGAGCUGUGAUGUGGUGGCUGCUGUGCCAGCUGGACCCCAGGGCUGUACCAUGUCCAAGUCAGUGGCUACUGGCCUGCCACCAUCCAUUUCCAUACCAUCUAUGAUGUAGCUAUGAUUCAAGCUUUACGGGAGAUGAAGUUGGCUGCUCCAGGGAUUUCCCACCUGACCUUUAUGAGAAUGCUGG